rnacentral:misc_RNA from 1 species
GCGAUUCAGAGAUUUCUCGCUCAAAUCUCGAUUCGUUUGAACGAUGUGGGGUUUGAUUUGAAUAAACCCACAUCAGAAAUCCUCUCGUUUUCGUUGAUCAAGCGGUGUUUCGAAUUGCUUCGUAUUCAGCACAGGGCGUUUGCGAAGUUGCUUGUCGAAAUUGACUACCCAGUUCGGAAACAUGAGGGUUCAUCAGGGGAUGAGUUUCUUA